CAGGGCACCAAAUACACGCGAUGCUGAGGCUGACUGGAGUGUGCUGAUUAGCACACUCCAGCACACUUGAUUAAUUGAGUCUGCUCUGAUGCGACACACUGUAAUUCCA